AUGUUAUACACGAAGACAAAGAUAAGCCCUUAUGUGGAUGAGGAUUUAAAGGAGUUCGAGUCAUUUCUUGCCUCAGUACUGUACCCUGCCUGGUGUCCACUUAAGUCUUUCAGUUUCCCGCCCAGCACAUUCCACUUGGGGCAAGGGACCUGUAGAGUCAUCCUUGAGCCUGCAUGCCAGACAUGGCAGGUCUUCCAGCUGGUCCUGCGUUUUCUUUUCUGCGGCUGCUGCUGGCUCCUCUGCAGAGGUCAACAGUGGCGCCCAUAUUCCUGCCCCUCCUCUGUGGAGCUCUCUCUGAACCUGUGCAGAUUUGAAAGACGCUGUAGCUCUCCUGGGCUGUUGCAGUCUGUGCCACAACCUGCAUUCCAGCCCCGUUUCUGGCCGGGACACAGCCAGUGUGACCAUCUGCAGCCGCCAUACUCCCCAAGUCUCAACCUCUCAGAAUUAAUUGUAUGCGGCUCAGCCAGGUUUCGGAGAGAACAUCCCGGUCUUCAGGAGCCCAGGGGUCAGACCUGUUCGCUCUUCUUGGGAGGCCGCCGGGGAAGGCGAUCUUGUUAGCUUUGGUUCCACCUAGUGGACAUAUCUGGACAUGCAAGGACUUACUUGGUCUUACAUUCUGCCCUGUUUCCCUUUCUAAAAUCUUCAUUAAUUUAUGUGGGGUAGGGGCACUCACCACUGAGUAAGUGGAGGUCAAAGGACAACUUACAGGGGAUUGUUCUCUCUUCCAUCGUGUGGGUCCUGGGCAUUCCACUCAGACCUUCGGGGUUGGCAGUAAGUGGUCAGGUCUGUCCUCCUCUCCUCCCCCUCCCUCCCUCUCUGAACAAGCUCUCAGUAUAUAGCCCAGCCUAGCCUCUGGAGUGGUAUAAGUACAAGAUGCUACCACACUGUGCUGUGCUUUGAAUUUUUGAGCCCCCAGUCCAAAGCCCAGUCUCUCACUGGCACCCAGCUUAUCACACAGUGCCAGCUGCCUGGCCAACACCAAAUCAGCACACCUGCAGAUGGCACCAACACAGCCUCAGACAGAGCCACUGCCCCCCAGGCCCCAGACCUGCACUCAAAUGUUUGUACAACAUAGUACCUAAGAUGAGCUUUGGUUCACACCUGUAAUCUCAGUAGUCUGGAGACGGAGGCAGGAGGUUGGAAAGUUUGAAGCCAGUCUUGGGUACACCGUGAGAUCCUGCCUCGAAAAACAAACAGCAAAGAGUCUCUGGUGUCCGUGAUGCAGCAGAGGGAAACAGCACAAAUGUCCAUCCAAUGCUGGUGUCCAUUCUGUGGUACCUUAACCCUGUCCUAGAGGAACUUCUACCAGUCACACUGAAGGAUAAUGUAAGCCGGGCAUGGUGGUUCACGUCUGUAAUCCCAGCAUUCAGGAAGCUGAAGCAGGAGGAUUGCCUUGAGUGCCAGGCUACUGGGGCUACAUAGUGAGUUCCAGGCCAGUUUGAGCUAUGACACUGUCUCUCCUUUCUCUCCCUCCAAAUCACAGUGCUUCCAUGGAUCCAUUCGGAUUUAUUUACUUUUUAUUCUUUGUGGGUUUUUUGUUUGUUUGUUUGUUUGUUUGUUUGUUGACGGGGCAUCUCUAUGUGGCCCUUGCUCUCCUGGAACUCACUGUGUAGACCAAGCUGGCUUUGAACUCACAGAGAUCUGCUUACCUGUGUCUCCUGAGUACUGGGAUUAAGGGCGGCAUCAUCAUACCUAGUGCCAUCCACACUUUCUUUGGAGUUCUGAGCAGUUCUCUGAGCUGCUCAGCUUUCAAUGCCCAGACCUCUGGAGCUGAAGCCAGGUGCGUGGCCCUUCCUGGUGUUACAAGUGAGUAACACCACCUGGUCAGCAUAAAAGGCCAUAGGCCACAUAAGCGAGAUAGCAGUGCUUGCACGGCAGGAGCAGCAUCAGGACCAGCACGUAGUCAGGAUGUGACUCACUGAAAGCAGUUUCCAUGCAGUGGGAGACAAUUGUUUUGUGUGUGUCCUCUGGGUAAAUGGGGACCCAGGAAGCUCAGUGGCUCCCACCUGUGCUGUCCCAGGCUUUGCAGACUGUGAUGAAUAUUUUUGUGUCAUUGUGAGAAAGUACCUGAUGGAAACAACUUAAAGAAUGAAGGACUUGGCUGGGCACUGGUGGUGCACGCCUUUAAUCCCAGCUCUUGGGAGGCAGAGGCAGGCGGAUCUCUGUGGCCAGCCUGGUCUACAUAGUGAGUUCCAGGACAGCCAGGGCUAUACAGAGAAACCCCAUCUGAAGGCAGGUAAAGGACAUAUUUUAGCUCAUGGUUUAGAGAUUUCCACCCACGGUCCUUUAGUCCAUCAAGUCUGGUCCCAGUGAAGGCAGAGCAUCUCAACAACGAGGCAGGGUGUGGGAACCAGGUUGUUUACAUCUAGGUAAAUGGAGGUGGGGACAAGAAGGGACAGGUACUCUGUAUCACCUUCAAAGGCACCUGCCCCAAAUAACCUACUUUCUCCAGCUAGGUGCCAUCUACUAAAGAUUCCCCAAAGAGCACCAACAGCCAAGGACCAACCAUUUGAUCUAGAGGAGACACUCCCGCUGAGUGGGAGGCCACUUUUCCUCCAGCAGGCACAUCUAGAGAUAACUGGAAGAAGUGCACAUGCCUGGCCCAUUUCAUCAUGGUAUAUGCUUGGACAAACUUACGGGGCGUGACUGUCACUUUAAAUGCUGGCGCUCAGAGGGGCUGCCUCCUCAGGAAACUACUACAGUUUGGAUGCUGGUGUCUCAGCUCCACAGUGUCAGGUGGUCUCUCGAGGAUCCCUCCCCAGUAGAUUGGGAUCCUUAUAGAAGAGUCAGAGGUUGGAGGAAGUGGCCUUUUGUCAAGGACCCCCUCCCUCCGUGUGAGGACAAACAUGUUUCCCUUGAAGGAAGCAACAAUAAAGUGUCACCAUAGGAGGGGACACAGAGCCUCCCCAGACACCAAAUCCCACCAGGCCUUGAUAUCAGCCUUCCCACCCUCUACAACAAUGGUUUAGUUUGGUUUGGUUUUGAGACAGGGUCACAUAGCCCAGACUAGCUCUGGAACUUACUGUCACCAAGGAUGACCUUGAUCUUGAUCUUCUGAUCCUCCUGUCUCCACCUGCCCCGGUGCUGGGAUUACGGAUGUGCACCAUCGUGUCUGGUUUUACGCCACCCCGGGGCUCAAACUUGAGGGGCCUUCCUGCAUGUUGGUACUUUACCAGUGGAGCUACACUCCCUAGACCCCCUCAAGCCUCCAAACCCUGAAGACAAACUCCAUUUGUUUAUGCGUUACCCAGCCUCCUCACAUUCCUCCCCACCUAACCAACCUUCUUUCCAGACAUACAAAGCAGAAGGAAAGCCUGCUCCUCCCUGGGACUCUCCUUGCUCUGUAGGCCUCGAGAUUCCUGCAGACUCAAACCACCCAUCCUCCCCGCCCAGCCGGAGCUAAGGGCCAACUCCAUCAGGCAGCAGGUACUGUAGAGCCCGCGGCUCCCGCUGCAGCACGGGGGAAGUUGCCUGGGUUAAGGAUCUCAGCUCAAGAUUGUGCCUGGGUAGAGCGGCCCUCCCAGGUUGCCAGGGCAGCACAGCGGUGUCCGGGUCACAUUUCCAGGCAAGAACCUAAGAACCGAGUCUGUGUUGAUCUGCAGCCUCUGAUAAGUUCGGAAAACAAGGAGAAUUUGAAAGGGGGAGGAUCAGCCACCGUCCGUGUCCCCUGCAAUGACUAGGGGCUCUUCCACUUCGGCCUGCUAGCCUCAGGCCUCCCACCCAGGAUGUGCGGCAUCCAGUGGCGGGUCCACGGCUCGGGAUUAGGAGGUUGCGACACCAGCACAAUAGCCACCAUUUCCGAUGGUUGCGCGCUCCCCGCCCGCUCCUCCCAGGGCACAGGCCUCGGGAGCACUCCUCGCCCAUUUGGUGGCCCAGGUGUUCCCCAGCGGCUUCCAGGAACUUAAGUGUCAACGAAAGCAUGCUUCCUUUCUGCAAACAAGGAGACUCUGUGGGUCUGUGGAUCUGGGUCACCCCGCCCUUUGCGGUCUGGGGACCCUGCGCCCCAGGCUCCCGAGAUG
ensembl:lincRNA